GUGGGGAAUUUUGGACAAUGGGCGAAAGCCUGAUCCAGCCAUGCCGCGUGCAGGAUGAAGGCCUUCGGGUUGUAAACUGCUUUUGUACGGAACGAAAAGACUCCUUCUAAUAAAGGGGGUCCAUGACGGUACCGUAAGAAUAAGCACCGGCUAACUACGUGCCAGCAGCCGCGGUAAUACGUAGGGUGCAAGCGUUAAUCGGAAUUACUGGGCGUAAAGCGUGCGAAGGCGGUUCUAUAAGACAGAUGUGAAAUCCCCGGGCUCAACCUGGGAACUGCAUUUGUGACUGUAGAGCUAGAGGACGGUAGAGGGGGAUGGAAUUCCGCGUGUAGCAGUGAAAUGCGUAGAUAUGCGGAGGAACACCGAUGGCGAAGGCAAUCACCUGGACCUGUACUGACGCUCAUGCACGAAAGCGUGGGGAGCAAACAGGAUUAGAAACCCCGGUAGUCC
rnacentral:rRNA from 1 species